rnacentral:miRNA from 1 species
AAGAAUUCAAAAGCAAAAA